rnacentral:lncRNA from 1 species
AUGGCCCGAGAGAUGCAUACAAGAAUCUACUCAUCCAAGUGUAAAUGUAUCUCUUUUAUUCAGGCCUCAAGCAUAAACUUCUCUCCUCUAAAAUGGGACAAUGCAACCAUACAGCCCUUCAAAGCACAUUUGAGUGAGCAAACAUGGAUGAGACAUGAAUGGAGCGACUUCCACAGAGAGUGGGAAAGAAAAAAGAAAAAUUAGUUUACCCCAAAAAGCCGAACUGUGAGGGCCACACAGCAGAAGCAGGACUGGAGCACGGUGAAUGGCUGAAGGACGGUCUCAGGAAUGCUUUUGAAGAGGAGAGGAAUGCAUGAAGAGAGGCUGUUGUGAGAGAAGGGCUAAAGUUCCUAAAGCCCUUUGAGAAUUAUGACCACGGGGUGUUUUGCCUGGUCUUGUGUUUAGUUAGCCACAGUCAGAGAAAACAGUUGGUUGUACUUGUUUGCCUACUCAGCACUGCGUAUACUGCAGUCUUCAUUCCCAGACACUGCAAUCCAUAAGACAAUGUGUAAUCUUUAUGUCAUUUAGCAAUACUGCACAGCAGAUAAGUGGAUUUUCAUGUCUGUCCUUUGAGCUGAACAUCGAAAGGGGCAAAUUAUAGGGUUUUUUUUGUUGUUUUUUUUUUUGUAAAAAAAGAACAUUGCCAUCAUUAACUCAGAGGCACAGAAGAGAAUAAAGCCGCCAGACAUCUUACAACAGAGAAUAUGACAAAUUACUGUAAAUAUACUUUUGAAAAGGCUUGUAAAAGGGAAUCGAAGAUAUAGAGGAGCAAAUCUCCGGCUGAUUGCUUAAUUUGUCAGCAUAUCUGACAUGAAAAUAAAAAGGAUGAGAGAGUCAAGGCUGGUUUCUGUCAGUAGUCAUUGAUUUGUGGUGACAGAAAAUAAAAGAUCUUGAAAAAUAAAAGUUUUGAUUGUGGAGAACUUCUAUUACAGUCCUAAUGACUCGACAGAAUUACAGGGUUUUUGUUUGUUUGUUUUUUGUAUAUUCCAAACGAUUUCCAUUAUAGAUUUUUUUUUUCUUUUUACUGUUACUUACUUAAUUACUCAAAUUAUUUUGCGUGAUCCAUCCUGGCUUUCCUCUUGAAACCUCACUAUGACUGAAUCAGACAUAUUUUUAAAUACCCAGGUGUCACUGAUUAACGAUCAUGUGCUGAAGAAUUAAUUUCAGUGUUGUUUUAGUGUCACAGAGACACUUUUACUGCAUCAAGAUAAACA